rnacentral:lncRNA from 1 species
CAGAAGGUUCCCCGGUACCCCUUCUAAGUCAACACCCACCCACCCAGAGGUAACCACUAUUCUGACUUCUAUAAGUUUUAGAUGUUCUUGAACCUCAUGUAAAUGAAACUCUUUUGCACCUGGCUUCUUACAUUCAUCCUUAUGUCUCCGAGAUUCUUCUAUGCUGUUGCACGUAUUUGUAACUUGCUCUUUUUUAUUGCUAUGUAGUAUUCCAUUGAAUCAAGAUGGAACCUAUAGGACUUGCUCACGGGGUGUAGCAAACUACCUUUUCAGUGGCAAUUGUCUCCUGAUCUGUUGGCCUCACCGUAACAGAGUAAAAGCAAAAUCCUUGGUACAUUGUAAAACACCCCAGCGCCUGGCACUGUGCCUGCCACAUAGAAGAAGAACAUAGGCAAUUACAGUGGAAUAACAGAAUGGAGGGACCAGUAACUCCCUGAAGAAUUGCAGUCAGACUGAAGAUCCAGGGUAGAAGAAAAGGUGUGAGGUAUCCUGAGAAUUCUAUUUCCAAUAGGAAUUUGAGAAGAAAACCAAAGCAAUUCGCUGUUUGGAAGGAAGGCCUUACAAGUUUGCUUUGUAGAGGGGGAAGAUGGAGCUUUGAGCAUGUUUGGACAGGAGAGAACUUUCACAUGUCAGUAUGGCGCUUGGAAACUACAGAAAGGGCUCCAAACCGGGGACAGAGGUUGUGGCUAGGACUGAAGGCCACUUCCAACCAGUCUUCUUCACCAAUUUGGAAGUGGAAUUUAAGGAAUCCAAUUACAGCAGCACCUGAACUUGCAUCCUGGACAUGUGGAGGGGACAGCGGACAAAUGAGAGAAACACAGAAAAUAUCCCUUUUCAAAUCAGCAGCCGCCAUCGCAUAUAUAAUUAUUUCUUUGGGGUAUCUGAGCUGUGGCUGUACAUACCAUAUGUCAGAGAGAAUAGUUAAAAUUAUAAAAGAGCAUAAGCAAAAUGCAGACCGCACAGAGAAAGAAAUCUUUGGUAUCUUUGGUGUCAUCAACACGAUUAAAAUUACAAAUGGAAAAAGUCAGUGAGGUAGCCUUCUUUGGUUCUCACUAGAAAUAGAAAGUUUUUCCUUUUUUUUCUUUUUUCUGCUUUUUUUUUUUCCUUUUUUGUUUUGUUGUUUU